UAGCUUACAGUAAUGGUGAUAUGGCUAAAGAAUAUGAGAACUGCCUCACCUCUCGCCGGGGAUUUGAAAGGGAAACUAGCUUAUAAGGAUUUCUCUUCAAAGGUUUUAUCAUAAAAAAUCAAAUUUCGCGAUCUAGGGUUUUCUCUGCAAACAAAUGGCUGAUUCACCUCGACGAAGGGGUUUGGAUUUGUUAUUUUCUCCGAUUAUUGAUUAUAUCAAAUAGCUUUGAAUGUUCGUGGAAGAUUCAAGACGAACAACCUUAAUCCAGUAAUAGAAAAUAAGGUUAGUGAAGAGGAGCAAAGAAUGAUGGGAUUGACAUAACGUCGCUCCAGGUAAAAAUGACUAAGAAGUUAAAUGGCUUUAGUGAGCAAUGACUAAAAACUACAGGGCUAAAACAAAGGAUCUCAACAGCAAGGACACUAAUUAGACGAUCAAAAAUCUUGAUUUUAAAUGAAGCAACAAGUUUUCUAGAUUCACAUUUCGAAAAGGCGGUACAAAAAGCUUGGACUCGAAUAAUCCUUGCACAUCGUAUAGCUACAAUC